rnacentral:lncRNA from 1 species
GGCUGGUCUGUUUAAACUCACAGACCCAAAAGCUAUCCUGCCAGGACAAGGGGUGAGCCCUUUCGGCUGUGCUUAGUCAUGAGUCAGCCCAAUAUGAUCAGAAGAGUUUACUUUGAAAUGAUGUCUCUUUGCAGCCGCUAUGAGAAUGGAGACUACAAGUAAUAUUAGCAAUUUGCUAGCAGACGUGGCUCUAUGGGAUAUGGUAAUGCCAUAUCUGGCUGUUCAGCUAGGCUAGGCAUUUCCUGGUUGCACCACCGUUACCUGUUUCUGGGGAACCUAUAACCUUGGCUGACCAGCAUUUGUAAUUUAUUCUGCUGUUUCCCUCGAGGGUGCUACAAACAUCAGAACGAGGGGUGCAGGAUGGAGCUACCUCUCAAGGGAAGCCUGCAGGGACCUGCCUCUUUGUGCUUCCUCUACACUGCCACAUCUCAAGCUUGCCUUCUCAGGGGCACCAUGUGCUUCCCCUCACAGCUGACAAGAGUUGCAGAAGAAAUGCAAAGCAGACCAGCUUACUUUCACCUCUUGAACAAGUGAGAGACAUAGGAAGAAAAAGCUUCCUCAAGAUAAGAGCAGGAGCCUAUGUUGUACGUGCACUCAGUGGAUCAAAACAUGAAGCUUUGCUGACAGCAUUUCCUUCUCCAUCCACAUCGCUGGUAUCAUCUGCCUGA